rnacentral:rRNA from 1 species
GCAUUAAGCACUCCGCCUGGGGAGUACGACCGCAAGGUUGAAACUCAAAGGAAUUGACGGGGGCCCGCACAAGCGGUGGAGCAUGUGGUUUAAUUCGAAGCAACGCGAAGAACCUUACCAGGUCUUGACAUCCUUUGACCACUCUAGAGAUAGAGCUUCCCCUUCGGGGGCAAAGUGACAGGUGGUGCAUGGUUGUCGUCAGCUCGUGUCGUGAGAUGUUGGGUUAAGUCCCGCAACGAGCGCAACCCUUAUUGUUAGUUGCCAUCAUUCAGUUGGGCACUCUAGCAAGACUGCCGGUGACAAACCGGAGGAAGGUGGGGAUGACGUCAAAUCAUCAUGCCCCUUAUGACCUGGGCUACACACGUGCUACAAUGGGAAGUACAACGAGUUGCGAAGUCGCGAGGCUAAGCUAAUCUCUUAAAGCUUCUCUCAGUUCGGAUUGCAGGCUGCAACUCGCCUGCAUGAAGCCGGAAUCGCUAGUAAUCGCGGAUCAGCACGCCGCGGUGAAUACGUUCCCGGGCCUUGUACACACCGCCCGUCACACCACGAGAGUUUGUAACACCCG